rnacentral:rRNA from 1 species
ACAUGCAAGUCGAGGGGUAGUAAGUGCUUGCAUUUAUGAGACCGGCGCACGGGUGCGUAACGCGUAUACAAUCUACCUUGUUCAAAGGGAUAGCCCAGAGAAAUUUGGAUUAAUACCUUAUAGUAUUAUAAGAUGGCAUCAUUUAAUAAUUAAAGAUUUAUCGGAACAAGAUGAGUAUGCGUCCCAUUAGCUAGUUGGUAUGGUAACGGCAUACCAAGGCAAUGAUGGGUAGGGUCCUGAGAGGGAGAUCCCCCACACUGGUACUGAGACACGGACCAGACUCCUACGGGAGGCAGCAGUGAGGAAUAUUGGACAAUGGGCGCAAGCCUGAUCCAGCCAUGCCGCGUGCAGGAAGACGGUCCUAUGGAUUGUAAACUGCUUUUAUACAGGAAGAAACACCUCUACGUGUAGAGACUUGACGGUACUGUAAGAAUAAGGAUCGGCUAACUCCGUGCCAGCAGCCGCGGUAAUACGGAGGAUCCAAGCGUAUCCGGAAUCAUUGGGUUUAAAGGGUCCGUAGGCGGAUUUAUAAGUCAGUGGUGAAAUCUCCCAGCUCAACUGGGAAACUGCCAUUGAUACUGUAGGUCUUGAAUUAUUAGGAAGUACUAGAAUAUGUAGUGUAGCGGUGAAAUGCUUAGAUAUUACAUGGGAAUACCAAUUGCGAAGGCAGGUUACUACUAAUACAUUGACGCUGAUGGACGAAAG